rnacentral:rRNA from 1 species
UACGGAGGGUGCGAGCGUUGUCCGGAUUUAUUGGGUUUAAAGGGUGCGUAGGUGGCUUUAUAAGUCAGUGGUGAAAUACAGCCGCUCAACGGUUGAGGUGCCAUUGUUACUGUAGAGCUUGAAAUAAUUGGAGGCUGCCGGAAUGGAUGGUGUAGCGGUGAAAUGCAUAGAUAUCAUCCAGAACACCGAUUGCGAAGGCAGGUGGCUACGAUUUAUUUGACACUGAGGCACGAAAGCAUGGGGAGCAAACA